CCGAGUGAGGGUCCCAGUGGCCCAACCUCCCACCCGUGUCUCUCGUACCUUGUUGCUUCGGCGGGCCCGCCGUUUACGGCCGCCGGGGGGCAUCUGCCCCCGGGCCCGCGCCCGCCGGAGACCCCAACAAUGAACACUGUUCUGAAAGCCUGCAGUCUGAGUUGUGAUUAUUGCAAUCAGUUA
rnacentral:misc_RNA from 1 species